AGAACGAACGCUGGCGGCAGGCCUCAAACAUGCAAGUCUAGGGGGUGCAGCAAUGCAUCACCGGCGGACGGGUGCGUAACACGUGGGAAUAUACCUUUUGGUUCGGAACAACGCAGGGAAACUUGCGCUAAUGCCGAAUGUGCCCUUACGGGGAAAGAUUUAUCGCCAAAGGAUUAGCCCGCGUCCGAUUAGCUAGUUGGUGAGGUAAUGGCUCACCAAGGCUCCGAUCGGUAGCUGUUCUGAGAGGAAGAUCAGCCACACUGGGACUGAGACACGGCCCAGACUCCUACGGGAGGCAGCAGUUGGGAAUCUUGGACAAUGGGGGAAACCCUGAUCCAGCCAUGCCGCGUGAGUGAUGAAGGCCUUCGGGUUGUAAAACUCUUUCGACGGGGACGAUAAUGACGGUACCCGUAGAAGAAGCUCCGGCUAACUUCGUGCCAGCAGCCGC
rnacentral:rRNA from 1 species